CAAUCUUUCUCGGACGCGGUUUGGACCCAGUCCAGGCUGGUGAAUUAAACAAAAAUUCCACCCGCGUCGGUAUCAAGUGGCGUUAAUUUGUCCCGAUAGAUCCCGGAGAACGGAGGAGAAACAAAGAAGAAGAGCGGAGGUUUCUACGCAAAAAAGAAGUGAAGAGUGAGGGUGAGGAGGAAGAGCAGAAGACACAGACUCGCGAGCUCCAUCAAAGCCAACUGUUGGUCGUAACAUGGACGAACAAUCCCCUGAUGACAUAUUGCACAGCCUCUCCAUUGAAGGAGGGGAGGAAUGCUCUUCGGCAAGCAGAGGAAUGCCUUCCAGUGCCACAUCUAUGACUCAUAGCAAAACCAAUGUGGAAGAGAUCUCGUGGAUCAGUAAAGUGAGGAAAAACAUAAAUUUAGCACGCCAUGUGGACCAUCCCAAUGGCCGAUGCACCAUCUUCAAGGUCCCUGAGCACAUCCGACAACUAGAUCCUAAAGCUUACACUCCAGUGGUUGCUUCCCUCGGACCUUUUCACCACGCCGACCCGUAUUCAACAUCUGCCAUUCAGAGUCACAAGUGGCGGUGCGUCCGGCACCUUCUAUCGUGUCAUCAAAGUCAAAAGUGUGCGAGCCAAUUGUUGGAUAAGUGCUUGUUGGAUUUGAAGAAACAGGAUGACAAGGUCCGGAGCUGCUACUCUGAGGAAUUUUCUGCACUGAAUGCCGAAGAUAUGGCAUUGAUCAUGUUGCUUGAUGGGUGCUUUAUCCUUUAUCUCAUGCUACGAAGGGAGAAAUUGUUCGAGAAGUUGAAAAAGAAGGGGUUGGAAGAGAAGAUGAAGGAGGUCGACAGGGACGUGGUAAGAAAUUUGGAAUAUGAGACAGUCGAAGAGGAUGAGAGCAAGAAGAGGAGGGAGUGUAUGAUUGAUAUAGGAGAAGGGGAUCAGGUGGUUUUAAAUAUCGAGGAGAAGGAUAGACAUCUUGAGGGCCCAACUAUGGCAGGGCUAAGUACUCUUGGUCUGGUGGUUCAAGAUCUGCUAAAGCUUGAGAACCAAAUUCCUUUCUUCAUCAUCCAAUUGCUAUUUGAUAAUCUCAAAGCACCUAAGGAUGGAGAUGUUGAUCUGGUUGACCUUGCCCUUCACCUCUUCAAGUGCAUCCAUCCCAAUCCCAAAGAAUCCAAAUCAUUCAAAAAAAGUCCCCUAGCAAAUACCAUCAUCUGCUCCAUCUAUUUUAUUCAUCUCGGAUCCCUUUAAACGGGCUACCAUCCCCUGAGGAAGCUGAUCCUUCGCAAGGGGCUUCGGCAUUUGCACCCAAGUGGACUCCUAAUGCGACGGAGCUCCAAAGGGCUGGGGUGAAGUUCGCGAGGAAGGAAUCGGCAGACAGUUCCCUGUCCGUAACAUUCGAGUGGAGGAAGAUGAAGAUCGCACCACUGCUAUGCCUCUUGAAGUUGGCGAGUGGACGGAUGCAUAUACCACCGCUACAAAUCUAUGACGGUACCGAUUCUCUCUUCCGAAACCUCAUAGCUUUCGAACAGUGCUAUUUCAAUACUAAGAUGUACUUCACGAUAUACGCACUCUUUAUGCACUCCAUCAUCGCCCAUGCUAAGGACGUUCGGUUGCUCCACUUGGAAGGUAUACUAGAACACGGAUUGAGCAAUGAUCAAGCAGUGGUAGAUCUCUUCAAUGAGUUGGGCAAUCAGAUAUACGUCAUCUGUGACAUGAACUAUCUUGCAAAUCAGAUUAAGAAAGUAAACGAGUUUUAUGGCUCUAAAUGGCGCAAAUGGCUUGCUGGAUUGAGGCGAGACUAUCUUGACGGCCCAUGGGCCAUAAUUUCAAUAUUGGCAGCAAUCUUUCUUCUCUUGCUGACCGUCGAGCAAGCAACAUUUUCUGCUUUGUCCUAUUUUUACAAUUCAUAGGUGUUAUUAGCAUGCUCCCUUAUGCGAGUAUGGUUCAGAAGAGAGAUUUAAUGGAAGGGUGAGUGGAUAAGAAAGAAUUCCCUCCAAAUAUGGAUAUUAGUGUGGUUGCUAGGUUGUAUAGAUAAAUAUGGUUGGGCUAUGUUACGGACCUCAUAAAAAAAUAAUCCACUGUGAUGUAUCAUGGUUCCCAUGCUAUCUGCUUGGAAGCUAUCUAAUGGCUAUAAUGUGGUUGUGUCAAGGUUCCAGCACAUGGAAUUGGAAUUAAAUUCUUCUGUUGGUUACUCUUCAUCUAGUUAAGUUUCAUCUUGAUAUUUUAAAUGCAUUUUACUCAAGGACACUUGUUGAUGAAUGCUAUGUUUGUUUGAGGGGCAUUAUCUGCAAAAUCUCCGGGUUUCCCCCAUUUCUCCCUCUAAUAUUUAAAAGGAUAGGUUUUUUUGAAGUUGUAGUGUUGUUUAAUUAUUCCAUUUCUUUUAAAAAUUAUGUCGAACUAGUUUUGGACACAGUUAUC